rnacentral:rRNA from 1 species
AGAGUUUGAUCAUGGCUCAGGACGAACGCUGGCGGCGUGCUUAACACAUGCAAGUCGAACGAGAAUCUACUGAAAGAGUUUUCGGACAAUGGAAGUAGAGGAAAGUGGCGGACGGGUGCGUAACGCGUGAGGAACCUGCCUUGAAGAGGGGGACAACAGUUGGAAACGACUGCUAAUACCGCAUAAGCCCACGACCCGGCAUCGGGAAGAGGGAAAAGGAGCAAUCCGCUUUGAGAUGGCCUCGCGUCCGAUUAGCUAGUUGGUGAGGUAACGGCCCACCAAGGCGACGAUCGGUAGCCGGACUGAGAGGUUGAACGGCCACAUUGGGACUGAGACACGGCCCAGACUCCUACGGGAGGCAGCA